GAUGAACGCUGGCGGCGUGCCUAAUACAUGCAAGUCGAGCGAACGGACGAGAAGCUUGCUUCUCUGAUGUUAGCGGCGGACGGGUGAGUAACACGUGGAUAACCUACCUAUAAGACUGGGAUAACUUCGGGAAACCGUAGCUAAUACCGGAGAAUAUUUUGAACCGCAUGGUUCAAAAGUGAAAGACGGUCUUGCUGUCACUUAUAGAUGGAUCCGCGCUGCAUUAGCUAGUUGGUAAGGUAACGGCUUACCAAGGCAACGAUGCAUAGCCGACCUGAGAGGGUGAUCGGCCACACUGGAACUGAGACACGGUCCAGACUCCUACGGGAGGCAGCAGUAGGGAAUCUUCCGCAAUGGGCGAAAGCCUGACGGAGCAACGCCGCGUGAGUGAUGAAGGUCUUCGGAUCGUAAAACUCUGUUAUUAGGGAAGAACAUAUGUGUAAGUAACUGUGCACAUCUUGACGGUACCUAAUCAGAAAGCCACGGCUAACUACGUG
rnacentral:rRNA from 1 species